rnacentral:rRNA from 1 species
CCUACGGGGGGCAGCAGUGGGGAAUCUUCCGCAAUGGGCGAAAGCCUGACGGAGCAACGCCGCGUGAGUGAAGACGGCCUUCGGGUUGUAAAGCUCUGUUAUACGGGACGAAUAGUCUUGUGGUUAAUACCCAUGAGAAGUGACGGUACCGUAAGAGAAAGCCACGGCUAACUACGUGCCAGCAGCCGCGGUAAUACGUAGGUGGCAAGCGUUGUCCGGAAUUAUUGGGCGUAAAGGGCGCGCAGGCGGCUUCUUAAGUCUGUCUUAAAAGUGCGGGGCUUAACCCCGUGAUGGGAUGGAAACUGGGAAGCUCAGAGUAUCGGAGAGGAAAGCGGAAUUCCUAGUGUAGCGGUGAAAUGCGUAGAUAUUAGGAGGAACACCAGUGGCGAAAGCGGCUUUCUGGACGAAAACUGACGCUGAGGCGCGAAAGCCAGGGGAGCGAACGGGAUUAGAUACCCGGGUAGUC